UACGAAGGGGGCUAGCGUUGCUCGGAAUCACUGGGCGGAAAGCGCACGUAGGCGGAUUGUUAAGUCAGGGGGGAAAUCCUGGAGCUCAACUCCAGAACUGCCUUUGAUACUGGCGAUCUUGAGUCCGGGAGAGGUGAGUGGAACUGCGAGUGUAGAGGUGAAAUUCGUAGAUAUUCGCAAGAACACCAGUGGCGAAGGCGGCUCACUGGCCCGGUACUGACGCUGAGGUGCGAAAGCGUGGGGAGCAAACAGG
rnacentral:rRNA from 1 species